GACGUGGUCUUACGUGGUUUUCUUUCCAUAUUCUACCUCACCCAGUUGUGUCUCUUAAUUCUUCCUUUUUUCUGAAAACAAACCCCAGAUCGUUCUCUUUCUAAUCUUUUCACUCAAACACAUGAUUCGACCUCAAGCUCUCAACGAUUUCUUCGACCUGUAACCAAUUUCGUCGAUCCGUAAACAUUUUCUUUUUUCAAUCUCAAUUUUGAACUAUUUUUUUCUCCUUCUUAAGUGGUAAUGAUAAUCUGGAAAACCCCUAAAUCGAAUAUUGAAUCUUGUUUUACUGCUGGUAAAUGGUAAUCUCAAAAACUUGUGACUGUAGUUGGUUUUUUGAGUCUGAUUUAGUAUUUGAAAACCCAGAUCUAGUUUUGUUUUGCUGAAGCUUUGAGUGGUGAAGAUCGAGCAUAUCUUGUAGGUACUCUUAAGGGUUUUGAUUUUAGUUGGGGUUUUGUUGUUGCUGCUUCAGGGUAAGCUAAUGCCAUUGUCACAAGGAGCAAAAUCUGAAUUUCUUGAUUCCCUUUCAAUAAACGUGUUGAAGCUACGCAAGAGAUUCAGUUAGGGAUUUGGUUUCAACUGAAUGUCCUUAAGUUGUUGAAGCUCAAUAAUGGAAAGUAUCUCCAAAAUCUUUAAUGUUGCACGUCGAUCAGCUCACUAGGAAUGUGAAUUAGGGAUAUCUGAAGGAGAUUUUUGCAAUGGGUGCUUCUCUGAGUGCCUAAGAAGGUCUUUUGAGAAACACCAUAGAUUUCUAUGUCCCAGUGUCGUGGAACUGUACAAUUUGUUGGUAGAAACCACUUUUUGCAUAACAUCGAGGAGGAAAUACUACAAGCUAACUCUUAACUAAGACGUGGAAGUGAUUAAAUCACCCUGUUGAAUAAAUGUGCUUCCAUUAAUCAAAUCUUGUCAUUAACUCAGCUAAAAAGUCAAGGCGGAAAAGACCACAUUCACCAUCACCGACAGAGGAAAAUGAAGCUGCAGAUAUUUCAUGUCCUCAAUGUGUGUUGGAGUUGAACAAUAUCUGAACUUUGAAUGGAAAGUAGUUGCAGUGAGGAAAAAGGAUGUUACAGAGUCGUCAUCAUCUUUGAACAAUCACUAAUUCAAAGAUAAGUUUUUGUUUCCCUUUGUUCAACCCUUUACAUAAUAUUUAUAUGAAAACCUAUGCAUUUGAGCUCGACAAGAACUGAUGUAAUGCAUUAUAAUGCAAACCAUGAUAUGUAGAAUGAACCUGAAGGGAUAUGAGAGCUAUAGCCGUUAUUGAAUAUUAACCACAAUUACAGCAGUCAAAACUUGCGCAAGACAAGCUAAAAAUAGUCAUGGUGAAUAGCUGCAAAGCUUUAAACUGGGUUUGUGCAUCUUGACUGUCGGAAGAAGAUUCUCCAUGAUAACUGAUAGCCGAACCUGGCUGCUGAGUUUAGCCAAUUUUUUAUCUUAAGCUCGUAAUUAUAUGAAUGUAGGUUAAGGUUUUCCAACUUACUGUUAGAAUUUUUUGGGACUUAGAACUUGCAGUAUUUUAGAUAGUUGAAAUUAUAAACUGAAUACACUUUAAGUACAAAUUGAGUUUUAAGGUUAUUAUCAAUUUAAUUUUGUUAAGUUCA